rnacentral:rRNA from 1 species
UACGAAGGGGGCUAGCGUUGCUCGGAAUCACUGGGCGUAAAGGGUGCGUAGGCGGGUUUUUAAGUCAGAGGUGAAAUCCUGGAGCUCAACUCCAGAACUGCCUUUGAUACUGAGAAUCUUGAGUUCGGGAGAGGUGAGUGGAACUGCGAUUGUAGAGGUGAAAUUCGUAGAUAUUCGCAAGAACACCAGUGGCGAAGGCGGCUCACUGGCCCGGUACUGACGCUGAGGUGCGAAAGCGUGGGGAGCAAACAGG